rnacentral:rRNA from 1 species
GGCUCUCUGAGGUUUUUAAGAUAGGGAGUCUGGCCUGCCCGGUGGAUAUCUAAACGGCUGCAGCGAGAGCUGUGCUAAGGUAGCGCGGUAAGUUGUCUUUUAAUUGGAGAAUGGUAUGAAUGGUUUAACGUAGAAUAACUGUCUUUGAGGAAUAGAGUUAAAUUUCCAUUUAAGUGAAAAGGCUUAUAUUUUUGUAAAAGACGAGAAGACCCUAUCGAACUUAAUUAAGAUUGUUUGUGGCGACGACAAUUAGAAUUUUUGUUGGGGCAACAUAAGUCGAAAGAAACGAUUUAAUGCUAAGCAUCGAUCCUUGUUGCGAGAAAAAUGGCAAAAGUUACCGUAGGGAUAACAGCGUUAUCCUUCUUGAGAGAUCGAAUUGAGGGAAGGGUUUGCGACCUCGAUGUUGGAUUAUAGAAACUUCUUGGUGCAGCAGCUAUGAUGGUGAGACUGUUCGUCUUUUAAAUCUAU